GAUUGCGUCAGCGAUGGCGUACGAACCUUCUCUUAUUCCGGCUCUGCUCGCAGCAUACACGCUCACGCCGACCAACACACACACACACACACACACACACACACCCGGGCGUACACGCGAAAAUAGAGACAAAUGUGGUUUCUCGCUGCUCUUCUUCUCGGAUCUGCGUUCCUGGCGUCUCUGUGGCACAGCGUUGUGCGUUACGUGCCCCUCGCAAUGCGGUCACCGCACCGAGGUGCCAUGAAGGUUGGCGUGGUGCUGGGCUCUGGUGGACACACGAGUGAGAUGCUGCGCGCCAUUACGGAGCUACCGUUGUCUUACUGGUUAGACACGCGUCCGUUCUACGUUGUAAGCGCCACAGAUCCGCACUCGGCCAGCUUGGCCUCACAGCUGGAGCAGCAGCGCUUCGAGAGGCGCGUCGUCGUGCACACCAUUCCACGCGCACGCGAGGUCGGCCAGAGCUACUUGACGUCGAUCAUCACCACAAUCAGGGCAACCCUCGCGUGCUUUCGGCUUGUUUGCGCUGAGAAGCCGGACGUGCUGCUCACGAAUGGCCCGGGCGUGUGCGUGCCUGUAAUCGUGGCGGCCGUUUGCGUGGCAUCGUGCGCGCCGUGGUGGUACGGGCGCCCUGCCAUUGUCUACAUGGAGUCCUUCACGUGCGUAUCGCACCUCUCCCUGACAGGGUGCCUGCUGGCGCCGUGGCUGGCGGACGUCUUUACGGUGCACUGGCGUGCUCUGGAGAGAGCUGUGACUCGACGCCGCCGCCGCGGCACGCUGGUGCACGUUGGAUCGGAGACAGCGCGUGUCACAGACGGCGCACCACAUCGCCUCCGGUCUCUUGCUGCGGAGCAGGAGGCCUACGCGCUGGUGACGGUGGGGUCGACAAAGUUCUCCUCGCUGGUGCAGGCGGUGCUGCAGCCCGGCGUUUGCGCCGCCCUGCACCAGCGCUUCGGCAUCAAGCGUCUCUACGUGCAGCAUGGCACCGCUGAGGUGGUAGCACCUCCAGAGGCGACUCUACUGCCCGCACUGCCGACAGCCGCUGGCGCAGAUGCUUCUCAUCCGACGCAGCAGUGGAGCUGUGGGGGCCUCCUCGUGGAGGCCUUCCCGUACCGACCUUGCCUGGAGGCCGUGAUCCGUGGCGCCACCCUCGUCAUCACCCACGCUGGUGCCGGCACCAUCUUGGAAGGACUGCAAGCGCAGCGGCCCUUGGUGGUGGUGCCGAAUCGUCAGCUGAUGUCUGACCACCAGCUGGAUCUCGCUGAGGCUCUUGCCAACGGUGGCUUUCUCUUCUGCGUUCAAGUUGGUGAGCUGGCAGAGAGGCUGCCGUUGCUUGACCUGACAACGCUUCGACCACACGGUGGCAUGGAUGCCGCGCAGCUUCAGGAGGCGCUUCGGCUGGUGCUGACGGGGCAUUCUGCAAGCGGUGAGAGGGCGAAGGCCGAGUAGGCGCGCGUGUGUGCGUGUGCGCUGCGCAAUCGACCACGGCGGCCACUGCAGCCUCUUUUUUCUUUUGCGUGUGCGCACAACUCUCGGUCGAUCCUCGUCUUCCUCGGCGCUGCUCUUCGUUUUCUGUGCUCUGCGGGUUCGCCGCACUGUCCCUCUGCUCACAAGCUCGCAGUGUGUUUGUCUAUGCAAAGCAGAGAAAGCGAAUGGGGCACAGAAUGUGCUGCCAUACUCUCUGGCACGUGAAGGACGCGUCGCACACUCGUCAGUUGCGCAUUGUUGGUGCCUACACUGCUGUGGAAGCGCCUCAGCGAGGAGCAUGAUGCGCGCCGUUGACAAGGCGUACUCUAGCCGACCCUUGGCACGCACGCAGGCGCAUGAAUGUACCUGUAUGAGCUGCUCAAGCACCUCUUGGUGCACCUGCAGUGCGACUUUUGCACUGUGGCGUCUGGAAGCUCUCUGGCUGCUGUAACUAUCGUUGCCGCUCGUGCGCUUCCUCCCUGCUUUGCCGCAACUGGCCCUACUGUGUGGCUGCGCACGGGAUUUUAUAUGGCUUGCUUGUCUCCCUCUCUCCGGUGGAUGGAGCUGUCUUUCCGCAG
rnacentral:misc_RNA from 1 species